UACAGAGGUCUCAAGCGUUGUUCGGAUUCAUUGGGCGUAAAGGGUGCGUAGGCGGCGCGGUAAGUCGGGUGUGAAAUCUUGGAGCUUAACUCCGAAACUGCAUUCGAUACUGCCGUGCUUGAGGACUGGAGAGGAGACUGGAAUUUACGGUGUAGCGGUGAAAUGCGUAGAUAUCGGGAGGAACACCAGUGGCGAAGGCGGUUGCCUGGAGCUUUGCUGACGCUGAUGCGCGAAAGCGUGGGGAGCGAUCCGG
rnacentral:rRNA from 1 species